AGAGUUUGAUUCUGGCUCAGAACGUACGCUGGCGGCACGCCUAACACAUGCAAGUCGAACGAAGUAGCAAUACUUAGUGGCAGACGGGUGAGUAACAUGUAGGUAUCUGCCCUUUGGCCUGGAAUAACACGAGGAAACUUGUGCUAAUACCGGAUAAGUCUUUAUGGAGAAAGCUUUAUGCACCAUUGGAUGAGCCUGCACUUGAUUAGUUUGUUGGUGGGGUAAUGGCCUACCAAGACUGUGAUCAAUAGCUGAUUUGAGAGGAUGAUCAGCCACAUUGGGACUGAGACACGGCCCAAACUCCUACGGGAGGCAGCAGUGGGGAAUCUUGCACAAUGGAGGAAACUCUGAUGCAGCGAUGCCGCGUGAGUGAAGAAGGCCCUUGGGUUGUAAAGCUCUUUCGUCGGGGAAGAAAAUGACUGUACCCGAAUAAGAAGGUCCGGCUAACUUCGUGCCAGCAGCCGCGGUAAUACGAAGGGACCUAGCGUAGUUCGGAAUUACUGGGCUUAAAGAGUUCGUAGGUGGUUGAAAAAGUUAGUGGUGAAAUCCCAGAGCUUAACUCUGGAACUGCCAUUAAAACUUUUCAGCUAGAGUAUGAUAGAGGAAAGCAGAAUUUCUAGUGUAGAGGUGAAAUUCGUAGAUAUUAGAAAGAAUACCAAUUGCGAAGGCAGCUUUCUGGAUCAUUACUGACACUGAGGAACGAAAGCAUGGGUAGCGAAGAGGAUUAGAUACCCUCGUAGUCCAUGCCGUAAACGAUGUGUGUUAGACGUUGGAAAUUUAUUUUCAGUGUCGCAGGGAAACCGAUAAACACACCGCCUGGGGAGUACGACCGCAAGGUUAAAACUCAAAUGAAUUGACGGGGACCCGCACAAGUAGUGGAGCAUGUGGUUUAAUUCGAAGAUACGCGCAGAACCUUACCAACACUUGACAUGUUCGUCGCGACUCUGAGAGAUCAGAGUUUUCGGUUCGGCCGGACGAAACACAGGUGCUGCAUGGCUGUCGUCAGCUUGUGUCGUGAGAUGUUGGGUUAAGUCCCGCAACGAGCGCAACCCUCACUUUUAGUUGCCAUCAUUAAGUUGGGCACUCUGAAAGAACUGCCAGUGAUAAGCUGGAGGAAGGUGGGGAUGACGUCAAGUCCUCAUGGCCCUUACGUGUUGGGCUACACACGUGCUACAAUGGUAUCUACAACAGGAAGCAAGACUGCGAAGUUAAGCAAAUCCCUAAAAGAUACCUCAGUUCGGAUUGCACUCUGCAACUCGAGUGCAUGAAGCUGGAAUUACUAGUAAUCGUGGAUCAGCGUGCCACGGUGAAUGCGUUCCCGGGUCUUGUACACACCGCCCGUCACACCAUGGGAGUUGGUUCUACCUUAAGGCAAGGUUUCAAACCCUUGACCACGGUAUAGUCAGCGACUGGGGUGAAGUCGUAACAAGGUA
rnacentral:rRNA from 1 species